ensembl:lncRNA
AGUUGGGUUUCGCUUCUUGUUCUCUAGGGAAAGAGACUUGUUGGCGGGAAAACGAGACCCAAUAUAGGUGUUUGGCGCGGGAGAUUCUUUGCGGAGUCAAUUGAUCACCUUCAGGAGAGAGAUCGUGUGUGGACUUCGUAACCCCAGUUCCUUGCUUCCCGGAUCGAGUUUCAAGCCUUGCCUUGCCUUGCUGUUUAACCACGGACCCUGCUCCAUGCUUCACGUUUUGCCUUGUCUCCAGUCACGGACCUAGCCAAGAACCAAGUUUAUUUCCAGCCUUGUUGUCAAGCUUCAUUGGACUUUAAGACUCUGACAUUUCCCCACACUAUUGCUAGGCAAGAGUGUGUGUUUCGGUCAAGUGGAUUAAAACUUUGAACUCUAAUAUCAUUUAUUGGACAAUACAUUUUUGGACUAUAUUUGACCUCUUUUGAAAGGUCUGUUUCUGAACUAUAUUCUUCACUUGUUUUUAUUGAUUUUAUAUAUUUCUUUAAUAAAGAUAUUAGAUAGAGACUGGCCUCUGUGUAAGGUUAUUGGUGCCCAGCAGCCAGGGUUCUGACAGUUCUGCAUACAAGUUGAAUAGGUCCUACCCACUUCUGGAAUGUGGCCCCUGCAACCUGACUAUUCUUAAGUUGGAAUUCAGCCCCAAGCCCCAAACUGAAGAUUUCACACAUGAUGUUCAGGUUUGUUCUUCAGUUCAUUCUGUCAGUUUCAUGGCUUGCUGUGACCUCACCUCUGACUCCCAAAGGAAAAUGCUCAAGGCAUUGUCAUGCUUCAGCCUGCUUGUUCUAAUUCUAAUCUGGAAACUGUUGUGUUUAUACAUACUGUAUGCCUUCCUAGAGUGAUCCUGUGUCCUGCUUUGGGAGAUUAUCAAUGAGGCUUGGGCCACACAUUCACAGCUGCUUAAUACUGAGGUUUAAUGCCACUUUUUAUGGAAUACCGUUUCAAAAGCAGUGGCUUUUCAUUUUCCCUCUGUUGUUUGGCAUAUCUUUGAAUUCACGGGGAAAACCCUGAAAGCACCUGAAAGUGCUUCCUUCCAAUGUUGACACUGGUGUGAUAAGUCACUAGUGCUGCUGAAGUGAGAUUGGAAGAAUCAAUGGGGUGAUUUUCCAAUCUACUUCCCAGUUCCCAAGCUGUUGCCAUUCAACUAGCAGCAAGCCAGAUGGAGAGGCAAAUUCCCAUCCUCUGGAAAACAAGCCUACUUUUGAGUCAUCAUGUACGUAUUCCCCCUCUCUCUGAGAAUCUCGGCUGCUUGUUUUGGAACAGCUCCAACAUUUCACAUUUGGCCCAGCUUAUUGUAACCAAAGCACCUUGACAGGGAAGCAAGUUCAAAGAAAACCUUUAAUGCUAUGUCACUGUUUUGUUUGCGAAUUGCAGCAUUAAACUAUUUGGCAGGAUUUUAAUUUGGCAUCCAAUGAGUGGGCGGUGGAGGGGGUGGAAUCGCCUGUCUAGUACGCUUGCAACAGGAUAUAUUCCCAUCAAAGUACACAUAGAGAUGAUGGUGAGAAAUGUUCAUCAACAAAUGCACUAGGAAACGGUGUCUCUUAAGCCACUAACUACCACUCUGAAUUUGGUUUCACUUGACAAUGAUACCAGCAAAGUUUUAUUGUACAGCUUUACUCAAACAAGAGUUUUGUACUUCUGCUCUGUAUUGAAUAACAAAAUUGCAUAUAUUACCCAAGAUAGGAACUCUUGCAUUGCAACAAUCCCUCCAAAAGACAGAGCCAAGAAUUCUAUAGGGUUGGCCAAAA